rnacentral:rRNA from 1 species
AGAGUUGGGGUGAUUCUUAAGCUCGACUUUGAAAAAGCAUACGACAAAGUCAAUUGGGACUUCCUGUUGGAGUGUCAUGAACUCCGAGGUUUUGAUCCUAAAUGGUGUGGCUGGGUAAAACAAAUCCUUCAUAACGGCACGGUUAGCAUCAAGUUAAACAAUUGUGUUGGACCUUAUUUCCAAAGUGCCAAAGGGGUGCGGCAGGGGGACCCCUACUCACCCUUCCUAUUCAACUUGGUUGUGGAAUGCCUAACCAAGAUGAUUAAGAGUGCCCAGAAAAACAAUCUCAUAGUUGGGCUGGCUUCGGACUUAAUUCCUCAUGGGGUUGCGGUGCUGCAAUAUGCUGAUGACACGAUCGUAUGUCUGGAGGAUGAUAUAGAAAAAGCUACCAACCUUAAACUCCUGUUAUACAUCUUUGAGAUGAUGUCUGGUAUCAAAGUUAAUUUUCAUAAAAGUGAGAUCCUAACGGUGGGUGGGGAUGCUCAGAUCACCAAUGCCUAUGCUGAUCUCUUCAAUUGUGACAUAGGCCAGUUUCCCCUUAAAUACUUAGGUAUGCCAGUUAGUUUUACUGCUCUUAGGAAUUCUGACUGGGAGUUCAUUGUCAACAAAUAUCUUCUCAGAUUUGAUGCAUGGGUUGGUAAUGCUACCUCCAUGGGCGGGAGGCACACCUUGUUAGACUCAGUAGUCACACAACUGUCGCUUUACCACAUGUCUAUGUGGCUAAUGAACAAAACCUUUGUGGAGAAAUUGGACAAGCAUAGGAGGAGAUUCUUCUGGCAAGGGUGCCAAAAGAAACAUAGAUACCACCUUGUUAGGUGGAGUAGAGUCUGUAGAUCUAAAGAUAAGGGCGGACUUGGAGUUAAAGAUUUACACAAACAAAAUAUCAGUCUUAUGCUCAAGUGCUGGUGGAAACUAGACACCCAGAAUGGGAUCUGGCAAGAUAUUGUCAGGGCUAGAUACCUGCGUGAUCAAACUAUUGCGACUGUGAGUCCUCGUUUCUCUGAUUCACCCUGCUGGAAAAACCUGCUGAGUAUUAAGAACCUACAUAUGAUAGGCCGAAAAAUACAUGUGGGAGCCGGUAAUCUGACCAGGCUUUGGAAAGAUUCUAUCAAUGGGUUGACCCCAUUUCAGGAACAAUUUCCUCGCCUGUUUGACAUUUGUGUCGACCAGAAUUGUACUCUAGAUAAAAUGGGGUCUGUAGUUUGUUCCAGCUUC